rnacentral:lncRNA from 1 species
AUGCUGGCGAUCCCUCCGAGCAGGCUCCUGUGCUCUCUUCCCUUUAGGACAGAUCUUCCUGGAGCCUUCCAUUCCCUUUCCCAUCUCCUACCGCCUGUGAAAUUUGCUUCUAGGAGUCUGGUUUCCAGGAGCGCCUCCACCUGCCACCCCUGCACAUUCCUACAGCAUCUCUUAGCUUUCUGUCUAAGCCUACGAAACCCUGGCACAGCCAUCCCUUUGCUGGUUGGUCCAGAGCCUCUAUCAACUGGACAUCCGGAUAUUCGAAGAGUCGGGGCCGGGGGGGGGGGGGGGGGGGGGGGGGGGGGGGGGGGGGGGGGGGGGGGGGGGGGGGGGGGGGGGGGGGGGGGGGGGGGGGGGGCACGGGGGUGUGUGGCUGCAGAACAGCUCCCACUCCCAGGUCGACUCAGACCUUUUCAAGUUGCUCCGGGGCCCAGCUCACCUGCAGCGCGCAGACGGGCACCCAGUCGGCUCGGGCACCCAGAGGACCGGGACGGCCAGGCCUCUGCUCAGUCACCGACGGGGCACGUGAGCUGCCCCUUCCCCUUUAGCGGCCGGGGCCUGCGGAGGUCUCGGUUCAGCCCCCCGCUCGCCGCAGCCGCUCCCUCCCGCAGCGACGUGAUCGCCAGCGCGGCCUGGAGACCAGCGUUCUGCCUCGGGGGACACCUGAGCCCGGGGUCCCGCGUGCACACUCUCGCGCGCGGUGCGAUAAACGGCAGGUGGCCCCGUGGGAGGUGCCUCUCGCGGUGCCUCUCUCUGGCGGGCGGGGCAAGGUCAUCACCUCUUUCUUCCAGCUCCGGGGAAGUUUCCGAACCAGGUCCCCGCGCGGCCACGCAGCGCGGCCUCCCGCGCCAGGGCGCGAAGGGAGGGUUCCGGAGGCGCCCCCCGCCCAGCUGGGUGCGCUUGGAGGACUCGCUCAGGAGCUCCAGAGACGUCUCUGCAAUGCACGCACCCAACUGUCCGCGCACCACUUGGCUGAGCCCCGCUUCCUCGCGCCCCAGUUUCCCUACAUUUCGGAUUCUUUUCUCCGCUUCUGGGCACCCCGACCCUGCCCAGGGUUGA